AUGAGGCAAGCAGGAAAGACACUAAAGGACUAUCCAGACAUAGAACUACCAAAUGCUACAGAACUUGAACAACUUGGGAACAGAAUGAUAAAUGAAGAACUUAGCUACGACAUGGAAGCACUAAAGAGUGAGCACCAAACCAUAAUAAGCAAUCUUAACCAUGACCAGAAAAUGGCCUUUGAUGCAAUAAUAGAGUCAGCUGAGAGAGGACAAGGAAAAUAG
rnacentral:rRNA from 1 species